GCCCUACAGACCAUAAAGGAAAUCAGCUAGAAGUCCCCAGAAACAUCCACAGAUGGCCCUGGACAUCAGCCACAUUCUGAGAAACAUGUCAUGUUCUGGGAGGUCUAAGGCAUCAAGGCCUGUGACCUUGUGCACAACUUUAGACACCAUCAUCCUGGAGCAGCCCUGCACCCUCACUAGCCAGGGUGUUCAUGACUUCCUCAAGACCAAGGCCACGUUCAAGACUUGGGACUUCAGUGAUGCACUUGUGCUGGGCAAGGAUGAAAAUGGGAAGGAGUUGUCAGAUGAGGACAUAUAAAUGGAGGCUGGCAUCUUCAUGAGUACCAGCGGUGGUCCCGGUGUGGGUCUCUCCAUCCAGGGACAUGGUGGAUGGACACUACAUCACUCCAUUCUGCCCUUCCUUUCCCUCCUCCCAUUCUCCCGAGGGCCUCAGUGCAUGGGCGCUGUCCAACCUCUGGUGCUGAAGCAGCCAAGAGACGCAAGCCUGCGUGGCUGCCUCUUAGGAUAUGACAGCACAGCCACUGGCCUCUACUGAAUCCUAUGCAACCUCAGAAGACACCCAGGAGUGAUGCCAUCAUGUGGUGCAAGAGUUCUGAGGGACCACAAUCCUGAAGACAUUGAAUG
ensembl:lncRNA CYP4F29P cytochrome P450 family 4 subfamily F member 29, pseudogene